AUGAGAUACCUUGGACUCCCGCUGUCCGUCAAGUGUCUCGAGAGGAUCCAUUUUCAACACCUUGAGGAUAAAGUCGCUGGCAAGCUCCCUCCUUGGCAGGGAAGACAUGUUGCUACUGCUGGUCGGGUUGUUCUUGUCAAAGUUGUCCUCACUGCCAUCGCCAUUUACCAUAUUACGCCGCUUGAUAUCCCGGUGGAGGUUCUCAAGAAGAUUGACCGUAUUCGUCGCACCUAUCUUUGGGCAGGAGCCGACAAGGUUUCCGGUGGGAAAUGCAAAGUUAAUUGGGACCUUGUUUGCAAGCCUAAGAAACAUGGUGGCCUGGGUGUGCUCAAUUUGGACAAAUUUUCCAAGACUCUUAGGCUUCGGUGGCUCUGGUUUGAAUGGAAAGAGCCCACAAAACCAUGGAAUUGUAUGGGCACGCCAUGUACGGACAAGGACAAAGAUUUGUUUGCGACUGCCACUACAGUCACGGUUGGCAAUGGGCGUACGGCCAAAUUCUGGAACUCCUCUUGGCUGAAUGGUUUGCGCCCGCGUGAUAUUGACCUCACAUCUUUGAGCUAUCCAAAAAGAAAAACUGCUCGGUCCAACAAGCUUUAA
rnacentral:rRNA from 1 species